GUUCAGAAAAUGCUUCAAAUCCUGCAAGAUGAAACACAAAAGCUGCAAGAUGAUCUAUGUCCAAAUUACCCACAUCACCAAGUCAGAAGCAGCAAGAACGAACAUGGAUUUCCAUCCAUCCUUAUGAGCUUCCAGCGCAUCCUCAUGUGAUUCUAGUCUGCUUGGUGACUGUCGCUUCCCAACUGCCCGCCCUCUGAACGUCAGGCCAGCACCAGGCACAGAGACGGCCAGGCAGGAACUGCUUAUCCAGCCCCACAAGCUAACUCCCUGUAAGCAAGCCUUUGAUUUGUAAUAUAAAAACAAAAAAUACAUCUAUAUUGCUACUGUUUCUACUUCUCCAGCUUAUUCCUUACUGAUACUGAAUUAAAAGACUAGGAAUGAUGGCAAA